rnacentral:rRNA from 1 species
GCAACCCCAGGUCUAGCGGGAUUACCCGCUGAGUUUAAGCAUAUCAAUAAGCGGAAGAAAAGAAACUUACAAGGAUUGCCUUAGUAACAGCGAGCAAACCGGGAAAUGCCCAGCUUGAGAUCAGGUGCCUACGACAUCUGAAUUGUAGUCUGGAGAAGCAUCCUCUACGGCGAACCGAGCUCAAGUCCCCUAGAAAGGGGUGCCGGAGAGGGUGAGAGCCCCGUCACGCUAGGACCCUUUUGCACCACGAGGUGCUGUCUACGAGUCGGGUUGUUUGGGAAGGAAGCCCAAAUCGGGCAGAAAAUUCCGUCAAAGGCUAAAUAUUGGCGAGAGACCAAUAGCAAACAAGUACCGCAAGGGAAAGAUGAAAAGGACUUUGAGAAAAGACUCAAAGAGUACUUGAAUUUGUUGGGGUGGAAGGAGAUGGGGGCCGGCAGUGCGUCCCGGUCGGAUGUGGAAUGACGAUGUGCCGGUCUGCCAAUUGACUCGGGGCAUCGACUGACGUGGAUUGGGGCGGUGCAUCCUAGGCCUUUGUUGUGCUCGCGGAGACGUCGUCACCCCGAUCGUGGCUGGCAGCUCAUGCCCUUGGCGUGCUCAGGCAUCGGCGCGUUCUAGGCGUCAGCUUGCGGGCUCCCCAUUCAGCCUGUCUUGAAACACAGACCAAGGAGUCUGACAUGUGUGCGAGUCAACGGGCUAGAAAACCCGUGAGGCGCAAGGAAGCUAAGUGGCGGGAUCCGCUUGAGGGUUGCACAGCCGACCGACCUUGAUCUUCUGAGAAGGGUUCCAGUGUGAGCAUUCCUGUCGGGACCCGAAAGAUGGUGAACUAUGCCUGAGUGGGGCAAAGCCAUAGGAAACUCUGGUGGAGGCACACAGCGAUACUAACGGGCAAAUCGUUCAUCUGACUUGGGUAUAGGGGUGAAAGACUAAUCGAACCAUCUAGUAGCUGGUUCCCUCCAAAGUUUCCCUCAGGAUAGCUUGAGCCCAUGGGUGAGUUCUAUCGGGUAAAGCCAAUGAUUAGAGGCAUUGCAACGCCCUUGACCUAUUCCCGAACUUUAAAUAGGUAGGACGGCGCGUCUGCUUUGUUGAGCCAUGCCACGGAAUCGAGAGCUCCAAGUGGGCCAUUUUUGGUAAGCAGAACUGGCAAUGCGGGAUGAACUGAGAGCCGGUUUACGGUGCCCAACUGCGCGCUAACCUAGAACCCACAAAGGGUGUUGGUAGAUUAAGACAGCAGGACGGGUGUCAUGAAGUCAAAAUCCGCUAAGGAGUGUGUAACAACUCACCAGCCAAAUAAACUAGCCCCAAAAAUGGAUGGCACUGAAGCGCGUGACCUAUACGAGGCCUUGAUGAGUAAGAGGGCACAAUGGUUGCUGAAAAAGAUGGGGCGGAAGCCCGGACGGAGCGGCCGUCGGUGUAGAUGUUGGUGGUAGUAGCAAAUAUUCAAAUGAGAACUUUGAAGGCCAAAGAGGAGAAAGGUUCCAUGUAAAUAGCACUUGCAUAUGGAUUAGUCAAUCCUAAGAGACAUGGAAAGGGAAUCGGGUUAAAAUUCCUGAACCGGGACAUGGCGGCUGACGGCAAUGUUAGGGAGUCUGGAGACGUCAUCGUGGACCUCGGGAAGAGUUGUCUUUUCUGUUUAACAGCGUCCCCACCCUUGAAACGGCUCAGCUGGAGGUAGGGUCCAGCGGCUAGAAAAGAACCGAACGUCGCGUGGUGUCCAGUACGUCCUCGACGGCCCUUAAAAAUUCAGAGGACCGAGUGCCUCCCAUGCCCGGUCGUACUCAUAAUCGCAUCAGGUCCCCAAGGUGAACAGCCUCUGGUCAAUGGAACAAUGUAGGCAAGGGAAGUUGGCAAAAUGGAUCUGUAACCUCGGGAAAAGGAUUGGCUCUGAGGGCUGGGCACGGGGGUCCCAGUCCCAAGUCCGUCGGCUUUCGAUGGACUGCUCGAGCUGCUCUCGCGGCGAGAGCGGGUCGUCGCUUGCCGGCCGGGGAACGGACUGGGAACGUCUCCUUCUCCGGGCAUUAAAUAGUCGACUCAGAAUUUGUACUGACAAAAGGAAUCCGACUGCUUAAUUAAAACAAAGCAUUGCGAUGGUCCUUGAGGAUGCUCACGCAAUGUGAUUUCUGCCCAGUGCUCUGAAUGUCAAAGUGAAGAAAGUCAACCAAGCGCGGGUAAACGGCGAAAGUAACUAUGACUCUCUUAAGGUAGCCAAAUGUCUCGUCAUCUAAUUAGUGACGCGCAUGAAUAGAUUAACGAGAUUUCUAUUGUCCCUGUCUACUAUCCAGCAAAACCACAACCAAGGGAACGGGCUUGGCAGAAUCAGCGGGGAAAGAAGACCCUGUUGAGCUUGACUCUAGUCCGACUCUGUGAAAUGACUUGAGAGGUGUAGGAUAAGUGGGAGCCAGAAACGGCGAAAGUGAAAUACAACUACUUUUAACGUUUGUUUUACUUAUUCCGUGAAAUGGAAGUGGGGCAACGCCCCUCUUUUUGGACCCAAGGCCCGACUCGGCGGGUCGAUCUGGGCAGAAGACAUUGUCAGGUGGGGAGUUUGGCUGCGGCGGCACAUCUAUUAAAAGAUAACGCAGGUGUCCUAAGAUGAGCUCAACGAGAACAUAAAUCUUGUGUGGAACAAAAGGGUAAAAGCUCGUUGGAUUCUAAUUUCCAGUACGAAUACAAACUGUGAAAGCGUGGCCUAUUGAUCCUUUAGACCUUCAGAAUUUGAAGCUAGAGGUGUCAGAAAAAGUUACCACAGGGAUAACUUGCUUGUGGCAGCCAAGCGUUCAUAGCGACGUUUCUUUUUGAUCCUUCGAUGUCGGCUCUUCCUAUCAUUGUGAAGUAGAAUUUACCAAGUGUUGGAUUUUUCACCCACCAAUAGGGAACGUGUGCUGGGUUUAGAAUGUCGUGAGACAAGUUAGUUUUACCCUACUGAUGACUGCGUCGCAAUAGUAAUUCAACCUAGUACGAGAGGAACUGUUGAUUCGCACAAUUGAUCAUCACGUCGAGGUAUUGUAAGUGGCAGAGUGGCCUUGCUGCCACGAUCCACUGAGAUUAAGUCUCACGUCGUAUCGAUUCGUCCCUUCCCUCCCAAGUACCUCCACGAGGCUCAUUCUAUUUUUUUCGAAAAAUGACCAAGUCUCGAACGAGUAAUCUUUUGGAAGGUAUGGCCAAGGGUCAUUGUGCCGAGC